CCAACCAACCCACUAAAACCAACCAACUACCCGCCAACAACUAACUCAAACCUCGGGCUAAGCCCUUUUAUAAACAGGGUGCUUACUGGAGUCCCCCAGGAAGGGAAUGCCAUAGCCUUAAGUCCUGGUGCAAACGUCUUGCUACAAAAAAGGCAGAAAAAUUCAUUCACACAUUGCGCUCCUGCCUCCUAGUGCAAGGUGAUCCCCACUUUCAACUCUGAGAUAUGGAUCAGCUUGGCUUUGAAUUCUGAUCCACCUGUGGCCAGCUGUAGCUCAUUCCCAAUUCUUGGCCACAUAUUUUUGUUUCUAUACUGGGUGACGCAAGUGAGAUCAUUUUCUUUCUUUUCCACCCACAUAUAAAGAGGAACAAAUAUACAAUAAACUCGGAUUUUGCUCGAAGAGAUACACAUAAAUACUGUACACAAAGAGUUACAAUCCAGUUUUGCAAGCACUGGUAAAACGGGGAGCUUGAAAGACGCCAACUUCCUUCCCAGGUGAAGGUAUGGGCAUCAUUUCAGCAGAAGUUAACGCUUUCUGCCCGCCCACCCCAACCCGUCAGCAAAUAUGUAUAUAAAAGAAUAUCGUCACUAGCCAGUGUUGACAACUGAUAGCAAAAGAAGGUGGUUCAAGCUCCUGAUGGUAUCUCAGGAUUGUCAAGUGGCUUUCUCAGAAUGACAUCAGACAUCUGUUCUCUCUUCAAAGUCAGUCACCUUCAGCCCAGUUGAGCAGAAUCCAUUAUCUUCUUCUUCUGCUGCUGCAGGAACUGCAGGAACUGCUCCCUCCAAAUAUUAAGACACAGCUUUCCCAGAAAUUAAACCUCAGGAUUCAGCAAGCUCUGAGCUUAGCUGCAGACUCUCA